GUAAAUCAGUUCAGUUCCUGGAGCAUUUUAAGAAAUUUUUUCGCUUCGAUUAUGAAGUUCAAAAAACCAAACUGAACCGAAAUGCAUGCUUAGUCAUUUUGGUCCUUUUGAUUGGUAGCUAUAUGUUGAACAAGCCUUAGCUAGUAGCUACCCCAGUCCCACUGCCUCAGUCAUCACCUCUAUCCCCUCUCACUUUGUCUUUCAUUUCAUGCCUGCCUCACCUCUAUGAUCCUACUGUCCCAGAUGCAUAGAUGUUUGUUUUUCCAUUUUUUUGGGUUUUGUUGUAAGUAAUGAAAUUGAUUGCUAUUUGAGGUUUGAGUUUGCAAUUUGGGUGCUUGAGAGGAAAGCUUGCAUUCUGUGAUUUAGGGAUAAUGGCCUUGGAACCAUCGCACCGAAUUGAACCAAAGUUCAAUUCGGUUUUCUAAUUACUUUGAUUUGUUUUGUAAAAUAUUCUUUUGCGGUUAUUUGAUUAUUGGGGUUCCGUUCAGAACCGAAUCAAUCAUUUUCUGCUAGUUUACAGCUCCUUA
rnacentral:misc_RNA from 1 species